AGUGAACGCUGGCGGUAGGCCUAACACAUGCAAGUCGAACGGCAGCACAGUAAGAGCUUGCUCUUACGGGUGGCGAGUGGCGGACGGGUGAGGAAUACAUCGGAAUCUACUUUUUCGUGGGGGAUAACGUAGGGAAACUUACGCUAAUACCGCAUACGACCUACGGGUGAAAGCAGGGGAUCUUCGGACCUUGCGCGAUUGAAUGAGCCGAUGUCGGAUUAGCUAGUUGGCGGGGUAAAUGCCCACCAAGGCGACGAUCCGUAGCUGGUCUGAGAGGAUGAUCGGCCACACUGGAACUGAGACACGGUCCAGACUCCUACGGGAGGCAGCAGUGGGGAAUAUUGGACAAUGGGCGCAAGCCUGAUCCAGCCAUACCGCGUGGGUGAAGAAGGCCUUCGGGUUGUAAAGCCCUUUUGUUGGGUAAGAAAAGCAGCAGGUUAAUACCCCGCUGUUCUGACGGUACCCAAAGAAUAAGCACCGGCUAACUUCGUG
rnacentral:rRNA from 1 species